rnacentral:rRNA from 1 species
UACGUAGGGUGCAAGCGUUACUCGGAAUUACUGGGCGUAAAGCGUGCGUAGGUGGUGCGUUAAGUCUGCUGUGAAAGCCCCGGGCUCAACCUGGGAACGGCAGUGGAUACUGGCAAGCUAGAGUGUGUCAGAGGAUGGUGGAAUUCCCGGUGUAGCGGUGAAAUGCGUAGAGAUCGGGAGGAACAUCAGUGGCGAAGGCGGCCAUCUGGGACAACACUGACGCUGAGGCACGAAAGCGUGGGGAGCAAACAGG